rnacentral:rRNA from 1 species
UACCAGACUCCUACGGGAGGCAGCAGUGGGGAAUAUUGCACAAUGGGAGAAACCCUGAUGCAGCGACGCCGCGUGAGCGAUGAAGUAUUUCGGUAUGUAAAGCUCUAUCAGCAGGGAAGAAGAUGACGGUACCUGACUAAGAAGCCCCGGCUAACUACGUGCCAGCAGCCGCGGUAAUACGUAUGGUGCAAGCGUUAUCCGGAUUUACUGGGCGUAAAGGGAGCGCAGGCGGCGCGCCAAGUCUGAUGUGAAACCCCGGGGCUCAACCCCGGGCAUGCAUUGGAAACUGGCGGGCUGGAGUGCCGGAGAGGUAAGCGGAAUUCCUAGUGUAGCGGUGAAAUGCGUAGAUAUCAGGAGGAACAUCGGUGGCGUAAGCGCUUUACUGGGCCGUAAUUGACGCUGAGGAACGAAAGCCAGGGUAGCAAAUGGGAUUAGAUACCCGAGUAC